rnacentral:rRNA from 1 species
GGAGCCACCCCCGUGGGGGAGGAAUGUCUGCGGANUUGUACACCCCUUUUCUCAGGGAAGAAGAUCUGACGGUACCUGAGGAAUCAGCAUCGGCUAACUCCGUGCCAGCAGCCGCGGUAAGACGGAGGAUGCAAGCGUUAUCCGGAAUUAUUGGGCGUAAAGCGUCCGUAGGCGGUUUAUCAAGUCUGUUGUCAAAGACUGCAGCUUAACUGUGGGAAGGCAAUGGAAACUGAUUAACUUGAGUACGGUAGGGGUAGAGGGAAUUCCCAGUGUAGCGGUGAAAUGCGUAGAUAUUGGGAAGAACACCAGUGGCGAAGGCGCUCUACUGGGCCGUAACUGACGCUGAGGGACGAAAGCUAGGGGAGCGAAAGGGAUUAGAUACCCACUGUAGUCAAGUC